rnacentral:rRNA from 1 species
UACGAAGGGGGCUAGCGUUGUUCGGAAUUACUGGGCGUAAAGCGCGCGCAGGCGGCUAUCCAAGUCAGUGGUGAAAGCCCGGAGCUCAACUCCGGAACUGCCAUUGAAACUGUUUAGCUUGAGGACGAGAGAGGUGAGUGGAAUUCCCAGUGUAGAGGUGAAAUUCGUAGAUAUUGGGAAGAACACCGGUGGCGAAGGUGGCUCACUGGCUCGUAUCUGACGCUCAGGCGCGACAGCGUGGGGAUCAAACAGG